UACGGAGGGAGCUAGCGUUGUUCGGAAUUACUGGGCGUAAAGCGCACGUAGGCGGCUUUGUAAGUUAGAGGUGAAAGCCCGGGGCUCAACUCCGGAACUGCCUUUAAGACUGCAUCGCUUGGAUCCAGGAGAGGUGAGUGGAAUUCCGAGUGUAGAGGUGAAAUUCGUAGAUAUUCGGAAGAACACCAGUGGCGAAGGCGGCUCACUGGACUGGUAUUGACGCUGAGGUGCGAAAGCGUGGGGAGCAAACAGG
rnacentral:rRNA from 1 species